UAAAACAUUUGAAUUUCCAAA
rnacentral:piRNA from 1 species